rnacentral:rRNA from 1 species
UACGUAGGGUGCGAGCGUUGUCCGGAAUUACUGGGCGUAAAGAGCUCGUAGGUGGUUUGUCGCGUUGUUCGUGAAAACUCACAGCUCAACUGUGGGCGUGCGGGCGAUACGGGCAGACUGGAGUACUGCAGGGGAGACUGGAAUUCCUGGUGUAGCGGUGGAAUGCGCAGAUAUCAGGAGGAACACCGGUGGCGAAGGCGGGUCUCUGGGCCGAUAUUGACGCUGAGACGCGAAAGCGUGGGGAGCAAACAGG